rnacentral:tRNA from 1 species
GCAGUGAUGGUUCAGUGGUAGAAUUCUCAUCUUCCAUGCGGGAGAUCCAGGUUCAAUUCCUGGCCAAUGUA